GAUGAAGAACGUAGCGAAAUGCGAUAAGUAAUGUGAAUUGCAGAAUUCAGUGAAUCAUCGAAUCUUUGAACGCACAUUGCGCCCCUUGGUAUUCCGAGGGGCAUGCCUGUUCGAGCGUCAUUAUAACCCCUCAAGCUCAGCUUGGUGUUGGGGCCUGCUGCACUGGCAGCCCUUAAAAUCAGUGGCGGCGCCAUCUGGCUCUAAGCGUAGUAAUUCUUCUCGCUAUGGAGUCCUGGUGGAUGCUUGCCAUCAACCCCCAAUUUUUCUAUGGUUGACCUCGGAUCAGGUAGGGAUACCCGCUGAACUUAAACAUAUCAAUAAGCGGAGGA
rnacentral:misc_RNA from 1 species